rnacentral:misc_RNA from 1 species
UAAUAAAGUGUUUUAUGGCACUUUUUAAAAAUCCAUAUCCACCUUGUGUGCAAUGUUAGAUCUCGUCAAUCUUGGCGAGGUUUUUAUACAUCAACUCAUUCUUUAACUAAUUUGUCUGAAAAAUAUUAUGAAUAACUUAAUUCAAAAUA